UUGCAAGUACUGCCAAAACCUUGGCCUUGCAAUGAAAGACCUUUACAAGAUUGAAGAUCCCCAGAUGUUCCUCAAUCAAAGGAAGUUCAGUUGUGGCCUAUGACGCUUCAACAGUUGACUACAGCGCCGUGACCUCAAUUUUCCCAGCUGAGGCUUGCGAGACAAUAGGAGGGGAAGCUUGUGAUGUUGAAAUAUAUCCCGAAGUGAAGCUCAAAUCAGUUGCCACAAGCAUCACUAGCACUACUACAGAACAGAUAGACAAACAGUACUUAAGACUACAAUAGUCCCAAGAAGUAUGAUCUCUCUUACUUAACAAAGUUGUUUCAUUUCUGAUAAGGAUCUUCUGUUUGAUGUUU